rnacentral:misc_RNA from 1 species
AAGUCGUAACAAGGUUUCCGUAGGUGAACCUGCGGAAGGAUCAUUAACAACGUAUCCACGUUUUCAACCCAUUGUGAAUUUGUUUUCAACACUAUAUUUUAACGAAUAUUUUACCCCUUUACUUUUGCGAGUUGGCUUUUUUUAUUCUGUUGUGUUAGUGUGUCAAAAGCACUGAUCAACACGUUUUUUAACGUUAAAGAAGCAUAAUUCUGUGCAAUGGAUAUCUAGGUUCUC